rnacentral:rRNA from 1 species
AAGCAGGGGAUCGCAAGACCUUGCGCUUUUGGAGCGGCCGAUGUCUGAUUAGCUAGUUGGUGAGGUAAAGGCUUACCAAGGCUUCGAUCAGUAGCUGGUCUGAGAGGACGACCAGCCACACUGGGACUGAGACACGGCCCAGACUCCUACGGGAGGCAGCAGUGGGGAAUUUUGGACAAUGGGGGCAACCCUGAUCCAGCCAUGCCGCGUGAGUGAAGAAGGCCUUCGGGUUGUAAAGCUCUUUCAGCCGGAACGAAAAGGUUACGGUUAAUACCCGUGACUAAU